rnacentral:rRNA from 1 species
GGGGAUAUUGCACAAUGGAGGAAACUCUGAUGCAGCAACGCCGCGUGAAGGAUGAAGGUCUUCGGAUUGUAAACUUUUGUACUUGGGGACGAUAAUGACGGUACCCAAGCAGCAAGCUCCGGCUAACUACGUGCCAGCAGCCGCGGUAAUACGUAGGGAGCAAGCGUUGUCCGGAUUUACUGGGUGUAAAGGGUGCGUAGGCGGCUAUGCAAGUCAGUUGUGAAAAGCUAUGGGCUCAACCCAUAGCCUGCAAUUGAAACUGCGUGGCUUGAGUGAAGUAGAGGUAGGUGGAAUUCCCGGUGUAGCGGUGAAAUGCGUAGAGAUCGGGAGGAACACCAGUGGCGAAGGCGACCUACUGGGCUUUAACUGACGCUGAGGCACGAAAGCAUGGGUAGCAAACAGGAUUAGAUACCCUGGUAGUCCAUGCCGUAAACGAUGAUUACUAGGUGUGGGG